UUCGCAAUGCCCGAAAGGGUGACGAAGCGACGCCGCGUGCGGGAAGAAGGCCUUCGGGUUGUAAACCGCUGUCGGGAGUUAGGAAGUGCAAGGAUGUUAAUAGCGUUCUUGCUUGACUAAGGCUCCGGAGGAAGCCACGGCUAACUCUGUGCCAGCAGCCGCGGUAAUACAGAGGCGGCAAGCGUUGUUCGGAAUUAUUGGGCGUAAAGAGCACGUAGGCGGCUGUGUAAGUCGGUUGUGAAAGCCUUCCGCUUAACGGAAGAACGGCAUCCGAUACUGCAUAGCUUGAGUGCGGGAGGGGAGAGUGGAACUUCUGGUGGAGCGGUGAAAUGCGUAGAUAUCAGAAGGAACACCGGCGGCGAAGGCGACUCUCUGGUCCGUAACUGACGCUGAGUGUGCGAAAGCUAGGGGAGCAAACGGGAUUAGGUACCCCGGUAGUCCUAGCCGUAAACGAUGGGCACUAAGUAGAGGGGUUUU
rnacentral:rRNA from 1 species